rnacentral:ncRNA from 1 species
AUUUAUCCUGUGAAGAGAAUAGUAACUUUAUUGGAAGUCAAAGAGAGUCGAUGGUUGGUGUAAAUCGAUACAACUAAUAUUGUGAAUCCAACUCAGAGGAAUUUACGAAGAGUAAAUCGGGUCAAACCGUUAUUUUAUAGAGUGGGCUUUAUGUCAAUUAGGGUGGCAACGCGGAAACUCCGUCCCUUGU